rnacentral:rRNA from 1 species
UACAGAGGUCUCAAGCGUUGUUCGGAUUCAUUGGGCGUAAAGGGUGCGUAGGCGGCGCGGUAAGUCGGGUGUGAAAUCUCGGAGCUUAACUCCGAAACUGCAUUCGAUACUGCCGUGCUUGAGGACUGGAGAGGAGACUGGAAUUUACGGUGUAGCGGUGAAAUGCGUAGAUAUCGUAAGGAAGACCAGUGGCGAAGGCGGGUCUCUGGACAAAACCUGACACUGAGGCACGAAAGCUAGGGGAGCAAACAGG